rnacentral:rRNA from 1 species
UACGGGGGGGGCAAGCGUUGUUCGGAUUCACUGGGCGUAAAGGGUGCGUAGGUGGUGAGGUAAGUCGGAUGUGAAAUCUCCGGGCUCAACCCGGAAAUGGCAUUGGAAACUACCUUGCUGGAGGAUUUGAGGGGGGAUUGGAAUACUUGGUGUAGCAGUGAAAUGCGUAGAUAUCGGGAGGAACACCAGUAGCGAAGGCGGCUCGCUGGGCCACACCUGACGCUGAGACGCGAAAGCUAGGGGAGCGAACAGG